GCUGCGAUGGCCGAGUGGUCUAAGGCGAUGGUUUUAAGACGCUUCUCACGAAGCAGAAUUCACCAUUAUCGAAAGAUGCGAGGGUUCGAACCCCUCUCGCAGCA